rnacentral:lncRNA from 1 species
ACUUUGUCUCCUCACCCUAAAAGGCAGAUUUUACACUUUCAUCACCUGCCACCUGAAAUGACUGGAGACAUUUCAUUCCUCCAUUGUAACUUAGGCUGGAGUGAGGCGAGGGGAGGGAGUCGCAGAACUUGGAGUCCUGGCCCCAGAAUAACAGGGCUUACCAAAAAUGACCCAUUAAUUGAUCGAGGCUGUCAAGCACCUUUCAAAUGGUUGCUACAUUUACUGAAAGCUCCCUCUGUGCCAAGAACCCUUCUGAGCAAUUUGUGUCAAGUUACUGAACACUCUGGAAAAUCCUAUGAGCUGGAGCACACGCGCUCUGCCCACACCUGCCAGAGUGCUGUUCUCCAAAACCCCUGGGUUUCUUCACGGUCCCUGCCAACAAAGUUCCCACCUCCUCCUCACUUCUUGCCUGUUCUCUGCUUGAAACAGCCAACCAGCUAAAGACAGGGUUUCUCUCCUGAGUGCUGGGAGUAAAGGCGUGCGACACCACGCCUGGCAUGGACUAAUACUCUUAAGCAUGGCUUUACAAAUGUUGUUGAGGCUGGAGAAGCCUCUCAUCAGCUAAGAGCACUUCCAGAGGGCCCAGCUUCCAUUCUCAGCAUCCACGUGAGGCUCAUAACCAUCUGUAACUUCAGUUCCA